rnacentral:rRNA from 1 species
UAUGUAAUGUAUUAUUUCAUAAUUUUAUUACCUUAAUAAAUAUUACUAAUUAAGAAUAGUUUUCAUGGAAUCGAUCUUAUAAAUGUCUCGAAACUUCAGGAAUCGAUUUAUAGGAUGUCUCGAAACUAUGUUAUUAAUCUAAAGGUAUAUUUUAAGGAUUAAUUUUAUGGCAAGUAUAUAAAGAGACUAUUAUAGUAAAAUAAAAGGCUGUAUAUUAAACCUUUAGUACCGUAAAAAUGGUGUAGUAAUUACAUUUCAUUAGGAAAAAAGGUAGAAAAAUUUCUUUCUAAAAAAAAAACGAAGUGAAUUGAAGUAUCUUAUUAGCUUCAGGAAAAUAAAUCAAACGAGAUUCUAUUAGUAGUGUGAAUGAAAAUAGAUAUGGGCUUAAAGUAAAAUGGAUUAAUCUGUUUGAAUAUAGGGGAACCUUCCUCUAAGCCUUAAUAUAAUAUACAAGAAAUAGAGAAUAGUACUGUGAAGGAAAUAUUGUAAUUAGUAGUCUUAUAAGCAGCUCAAGGUAAGUUUAGUAAACGUAUGAGAGCGUACCUUUUGUAUAAUGGGUCAGCAAGUUCUAGUUAGAUGCAAGCAAAUAUUGAUUAGUAGUGAGAUAGGAUAGUUAUUAAACUACAAGAAAAAUAAUCCAUUUGCCUAGAUAAUCCAAUUAUUAAGUAAUGAAUUAGUAUCUAAUUAGAGACCCGAAGAGUAGUGAUCUUACCAUGGUCAGGCUUAUAAAAGGCCGGAUGGGUUAUCGUUGUAAAGAUAUCCAAAGAACUGUGGUAAGUUAGUGAAAGACAAUCCUGACUACUAUAGCUGGUUUUCCGCGAAACAUAUGUAAGUAUGUAGUUUAAAGCACAUCAUAGCAGGUACAGAACUGUAAUCUCGGACAAUUUGUGCAUUAUGACUCUUUUAGUUUUUAUACUUUUGAGGGUUUUUAAUGCCUUGUGCAUAUGGGGGGGUCGUGAAGACUCUAUUCGCGAGUAUUUGCUCUCGGAAGGGCAAUGAUGAAUGUUGAACUAUCAGACAUUUAACGAUAAGGUUGUAUGUCAAAAGGGAAACAGCCCAGAACAAGUGUUUAAGGUUCCAAAGUUUUUGUUAAGUGAAAGUAAGGAAGUAUUUAAACUAUACAACCAGGAAAUAGGCUUAGAAGCGGCCAUUUUUUAAAGACCUCGUAACAGAGCACUGGUUCAAAGGGUUAAUUUAUUAACCUAAUUAGUUAAAAGCGCCGAAGAUAUAACGGAUCUAAAACAAAACACCGACACCUUGUCCAUAAUAAAAAUUUCAAAUUAAAUAAAUCAUUUAAUUUGAUUUUAAUAUAUUUAAUGAUUUAUUAAGUAUUAUUUAUGGGGUAGCGGAACAUUGGGUAAAUAGGAUUAAAAAUAGAAAUACAUAUAAAUAAUUUGUAUUAUAACCUUUAUAAUCUUUUUUUAAUUUAUAAAAAUGGUAUUAAAAGGAGUACAUCUAUUUUCAUAAUUACAUAAAGUAAUUUGCUUGCUUAUUAGCAAGUUUCCAUAAAUAUCCCAAGUGAGAAUGCUGACACGAGUAACGAAAAAGAGGAUGCCCUUGCAGGGCCCUCUCGCCUUAAGCUUAUGGAAAAGUUAAUCGGUCUCUAAAUUAAACCUAAAGGAUAAAAUGAUGAGGAGAUUAUAUGUGACAACAUAAAAUGGAGUAAAAUGUUCUGGAAAAGCAUAUAAUCAGAGGAUGUAUAUAAUAAUGCUAGUUAACUAAAAAAAAAUACUAGGCUUCCUCAAUUUUGUGAAACCGUACCUAAAAACUACCACAAGUAAGCUAGUAGAGAAUACGAAGGCGUUUGAGCUAACAAUCAUUAAGGAACUCGGCAAAUUGACACCGUAACUGAGGGAGAAGGUGUGCCAUUCCUACUGAUUAAUAUCAGUGUAGGAAGAGGAGACAUAAAAUGGUGUUGCACGACUGUUUAAUUAAAACACAGCACUUUGCGUAAGAUGUAAAUCAAUGUAUAGAGUGCGCUAUCUGCCCAAUGAUGGCUGGUUAACGGAUUUACUUAGACGACUAAAAUAGUCUAGGUUUUGAAGGAACCCCCAUUUAAUGGCGGCCUUACCUAUGAGGGUCCUAAGGUAGCGAAAUACCUUGGCAUUUAAAUGAUGUCGCGCAUGAAUGAUCUCACGAUGCAACAGCUGUCUCAAUGAUUGGCUCAGUGAAACUGGAAUGGCAGUGAAGAUACUGCCUAUCUCUAGAUAGACGAGAAGACCCCAUGCAGCUUUACUGUUACUAGUUAUAGGGUAUAAUUUAACAGGUUUUAGGGAAUAAGGUAGUUGACAGACAGAAUUGAAACACCUUUACUCUGGUUGUUAUAUCAGUAGAAUAAGUUACAAUUUGUAACUGACGUCUUAAUGUGAUCCAAAAAAGGAGGAAGAUCGUAGAUCAAACUCAGGAGACAAUGGCUAGCAGAUGGUUUAUGCGGGGCACAGAUCCCAUAAAGAGUACCUGGGAGUAUCCAAAUUUAUAUUUGUAAUAUGCUAUACGCUAUUUAUAUAAGACUUUACUAAGUAAUUGACUUAUAUAUUUAAAUUUUUUUAAUUACUAUAUUUAGUUUGUUAUUUUUUAUAUUUACUUUAAAGUAUCUAUAAUUAAUUCAGUUAUAUUUCUAUUUAAGUUAGAACUAAAACAUUUUAAUAUAAGUAAGAUUUUACCUAUGUGGAAAAUAGGUGUGUAUAUCGUAUUAAUAAUUAACUUUGUAUAAAAGGUUAAUUGUACUACGAUUAGUUAUUUUUUCUAAAAAAAAAUGAUAUUGAUAUAUACUUCCAAAGUUUAAUGGCUAAAUCUUGCUUUACUGUUCGACAUACACGUCUAUCAGUUGCGUAAGCAGGGCAUAAAGACCGCAAGACGCAGUAAGGAAAGGUCUUGUAUUAUUGAAAAAGCUACGCUGGGGAUAACAGGCUAAUUGCGCCAGAGAGUACAAAUUGAGUGCGCAGUUUGGCACCUCGAUGUCGGCUUAGCUCAUCCACAUGAAUGCAGGAAUCAUGAAGGGUACGACUGUUCGUCGAUUAAAGAGCUACACGAGCUGGGUUAAAUACGUCGUGAGACAGUAUGGU